rnacentral:rRNA from 1 species
UUAACACAUGCAAGUCGAGGGGUAUAGUCUUCGGAGCUAGAGACCGGCGCACGGGUGCGUAACGCGUAUGCAACCUACCUUUCACAGGGGGAUAGCCCAGAGAAAUUUGGAUUAAUACCCCAUGGUAUAUUAGUAUGGCAUCAUAUUAUUAUUAAAGUUCCAACGGUGAAAGAUGGGCAUGCGUCCCAUUAGCUAGAUGGUAAGGUAACGGCUUACCAUGGCGACGAUGGGUAGGGGUCCUGAGAGGGAGAUCCCCCACACUGGUACUGAGACACGGACCAGACUCCUACGGGAGGCAGCAGUGAGGAAUAUUGGUCAAUGGGCGCAAGCCUGAACCAGCCAUGCCGCGUGCAGGAUGAAGCAUCUAUGGUGUGUAAACUGCUUUUAUACGGGAAGAAACCCUGCCACGUGUGGCAGAUUGACGGUACCGUAAGAAUAAGGACCGGCUAACUCCGUGCCAGCAGCCGCGGUAAUACGGAGGGUCCAAGCGUUAUCCGGAAUCAUUGGGUUUAAAGGGUCCGUAGGCGGUCAGGUAAGUCAGUGGUGAAAGCCCAUCGCUCAACGGUGGAACGGCCAUUGAUACUGCCUGACUUGAAUUACUGGGAAGUAACUAGAAUAUGUAGUGUAGCGGUGAAUGCUUAGAUAUUACAUGGAUACCAAUUGCGAAGGCAGGUUACUAC